rnacentral:rRNA from 1 species
GUUGACCUCGAAUCAGGUAGGACUACCCGCUGAACUUAAGCAUAUCCAUUUCAGAUUACUUAUGGCAAUUCAGCUGCGUUCUGCAUCGAUGCCAGAACCAGAGAUCCGUUGUUGAAAGUUUUGAUUCAGUGUUUUUUUUAACCCACUCAAAUCAUACUUAUUAAAAAUUCAUAAAGUUUGGGUCCCGGGCAGGGCGCGCACGUCCCGCACAAAGCGACAAUUUAACGUAUGAUUCACAGGGGUUGGGAG